GCAACCUCAGCUUAGGGGAGAACACCCACUGAGUUUAAGUAUGUAAUUAAGUAGAGGAAAAGAAACUUACAAGGAUUCCCCUAGUAGCGGUGACUGAACUGGGAAGAGCCCAACAUCAAAAUUGGGCGGAAGCAUCACCUGAAUUGUAGUCUGUAGAAGCAUCCACAGCGGCAGACCUGGGUCAAGUCCCUUGGAAGGGGGCACUUGAGGGGGUGACAGCCCCGUCGGCCUGAGACCCUGUCGCAUCAUGAGGCAUCAUCAACGAGUUGUGUUGUUUGGGAAUGCAGCCCUAAUUGGGUGGUAAAUUACAUCCAAGGCUAAAUACGGGUGAGAGACCGAUAACGAACAAGUACCGCGAGGGAAAGAUAAAAAGGAAUUUGAAAACAGAGUUAAAGAGUACUUGAAAUUUCCGGGAGGGAAGUGGAUGGAGGUUGUCGAUGCGUCCCAGUCAGAUGUGGAACGACUCAGGUUGGUUUGUCGCUCGACUUGAGGUGCAAAGCAACAUGGGUGCUGCAUUGUCACAAGUGUGGGUGGAUGUUGCCUAUCGGUUUGCCACUGCGGUGGUUGAGGAACGAAGCGUGCAACCUUGUGGUGGGCCAUGUGCACCUGCGCGCUCAUGGUGUUGGUUGGCGGGCUUUCCAUUCGACCCGUCUUGAAACAUAGACCAAGGAAUCUAACAUGUGUGCGAGUCGGCGGGUUUGAAAACCUGUGAGGCACAAGGAAGCUGAUGGGUGAGAUCCCCUCUUUGGGGGGUGCAUCAUCGACUGACCUUGAGCUUAAGCAAAGGGUUUGAGUGCGAGCACACCUAUUGGGACCCGAAAGAUGGUGAACUAUGCCUGAGCAGGGUGAAGCCAGAGGAAACUCUGGUGGAGGCUCGUAGCGAUAAUGACGUGCAAAUCAUUCAUUUGACUUGAGUAUAGGGGUGAAAGACUAAUCGAACCAUCUAGUAGUUGGUUUCCUCCGAAGUUUCGCUCAGGGUAGCUAUAACUCAUGCACGAGUUUUAUUGGGUAAAGCAAAUGAUUAUAGGCAUUGGGGGUGUAACGCCCUUGACCUAUUCUCAAACUUCAAAUAGGUAAGAGGGUGCGGUUGAUCCAUUGAGCCGCGUCGUGGAAUCAAGAGCUCCAAGUGGGCCAUUUUUGGUAAGAAAAACUGGCGAUGCGGGAUGAACUGAAAGUUGAGUUACAGUGCCAAAUUGCACGCUAACCUAGAUCCCAUAGAGGGUGUUGGUUGAUUAAUACAGUAGGAUGGUGGUCAUGGAAGUCGAAAUCUGCUAAGGAGUGUCUAACAACUCACCUACCGAAUCAACUAGCCUCGAAAAUGGAUGGCACUGAAGCGUGCAACCUAUACUCGACAGUCGGAGUAAUUUCCUAGCUCCGAUGAGUAGGAGGAUGUGGGGGUCAUUGAGAAACCUCGGGCGUGAGCUUGGGUGCAUCGGCCCCCAGUGUAGAUCUUGGUGGUAGUAGCAAAUAUUCAAAUGAGAACUUUGAAGACUGAAGUGGGGAAAGGUUCUAUGUGAACAACACUUGGACAUGGGUUAGUCGAUCCUAAGAGAUGGGGAAGCCUUGUAUCAAGGGUGCACUCUACAUGAGCAUCGAAAGGAAAUCAGGUUAAUAUUCCUGAACCGGGACAUGGCAGCGGGUGGCAAUGUUAUGAAAUCUGGAGACAUCGUUGGGGGCCCCGGGAAGAGUUAUCUUUUCUUUUUAACAGGUUUCCCACCCUGGAAUUGGUUCACCCGGAGAUAGGGUCCAGUAGCUGGAAGAGCACUGCACAUACCGUUGAAAAUCUGGAGGACCGAGUACCGUUCAUUCCCAGUCAUACUCAUAACUGCAUCAGGUCUCCAAGGUGAACAACCUCUGGUCAAUAGAACAAUGUAGGUAAGGGAAGUCGGAAAAACGGAUCCGUAACUUCGGGAAAAGGAUUGGAUCUGAGGGUUGGGCCUAGGGGUCUAUGCCCUCAACUUGUGGGUUGUCGGUAGUCUUCCCAAGCUGCUCUAGUGGCGAGGGCGGGUAGUCAUGUGCCGAUUGGGCUACGGGUGUAUAAUGCCCCCUGCCAGGGGCUUUUCCCUAGGUGUUGAACAAUUGACUUAGAACUAGUAUGGACAAGGGGAAUCCGACUGUUUAAUUAACACAAAGAAUUGUGAUGGUCCCUGUAGAUGCUGACGCAAUGUGAUUUCUGCCCAAUGCUCUGAAUGUCAAAGUGAAGAAAUUCAACCGAGCGUGGUUAAAUGGCGAGAGUAACUAUGACUCUCUUAAGGUAGCCAAAUGCUUUGUCAUCUAAUUAGUGAUGUGCAUGAAUGGAUUAACGAGAUUCCCACUAUCUCUAUCUACUAUCUAGCGAAACCACAACCAAGGGAAUGGGCUUGGCUGAAUCAGCAGGGAAAGAAGACCUUGUUGAGCUUGACUCUAGUUCGAAUUUGUGAAAUGACUUGAGAUGUGUAGAAUAAGUGGGAGCCGUUUUCAACGCAAGUGAAAUACCACUACUUUUAACAUUAUUUUACUUAUUCCAUGGGGCGGAGAUGGGGCACUACCCCUAUUUUUGGCCUUAAGGCAUGUUUCGGUGGGUCGAUCUAGGUAGAAGACAUUGUCAGGUGGGGAGUUUGGCUGGGGUGGAAGAUUUGUUAAAAGAUAAUGCAGGUGUCCUAAGAUGAGCUCAACGAGAACAUAAAUCUCGUGUGGAACAAAAGGGUAAAAGCUCAUUUGAUUUUGAUUUUCAGUACGAAUACACACCGUGAAAGUGUGGCUUAUUGAUCCUUUAUAUUUUCAAAAUUUGAAGCUAGAGGUGUCAAAAAAGUUACCACAGGGAUAACUGGCUUGUUGUAGCCAAGCAUUCAUAGUGACGUUGCUUUUUUAUCCUUCGAUGUUGGCUCUUCCUAUCAUUGUGAACAUAAUUCACCAAGUGUUGGAUUGUUCACCCACCAAUAGGGAACGUGAGUUGGGUUUAGACCAUUGUGAGACAGGUUAGUUUUACCCUACUGAUGAACUGCACCACAUUAGUAAUUCAACUUAGUACGAGAGUAACUAUUGAUUCACAUAAUUGGUCAUCACACUUGGUUGAAAAGCCAGUGGCGCGAAGCUACCAUGUGUCAGAUUAUGACUAAAAGCCUCUAAGUUAGAAUCCACUCUAGAAGCGGUGCAUGUCACUCUUCGACUAUAUCUCGAACCGCAGUAGGGGCAUCGCUUUAUCGCCCCCCGGGGCCUGUGUCAUUUGCAAACCGCGACCGUGAAGCAUCUCGGUCAGGGCAACUUUGAAGUUCAAUUCUAAAUGGUUGUUGAGAAGAAUCAUUUGCAGACGACUUAAAUAC
rnacentral:rRNA from 1 species